GUGCUUGCUUCGGCAGCACAUAUACUAAAUUGGAACAAUACAGAGAAGAUUAACAUGGCCCCUGUGCAAAAAUGGCAUGCAAAUUCAUGAAGCAUUCCAUCUUUUU